UGGAAGUAAAAGUCGUAACAAGGUCUCCGUUGGUGAACCAGCGGAGGGAUCAUUACCGAGUUUACAACUCCCAAACCCAAUGUGAACGUUACCAAACUGUUGCCUCGGCGGGAUCUCUGCCCCGGGUGCGUCGCAGCCCCGGACCAAGGCGCCCGCCGGAGGACCAACCAAAACUCUUUUGUAUACCCCCUCGCGGGUUUUUAUAUCUGAGCCAUCUCGGCGCCUCUCGUAGGCGUUUCGAAAAUGAAUCAAAACUUUCAACAACGGAUCUCUUGGUUCUGGCAUCGAUGAAGAACGCAGCGAAAUGCGAUAAGUAAUGUGAAUUGCAGAAUUCAGUGAAUCAUCGAAUCUUUGAACGCACAUUGCGCCCGCCAGUAUUCUGGCGGGCAUGCCUGUCCGAGCGUCAUUUCAACCCUCGAACCCCUCCGGGGGGUCGGCGUUGGGGAUCGGCCCUUUACGGGGCCGGCCCCGAAAUACAGUGGCGGUCUCGCCGCAGCCUCUCCUGCGCAGUAGUUUGCACACUCGCAUCGGGAGCGCGGCGCGUCCAUUGCCGUAAAACACCCAACUUUCUGAAAUGUUGACCUCGGAUCAGGUAGGAAUACCCGCUGAACUUAAGCAUAUCAAUAAGCGGAGG
rnacentral:rRNA from 1 species